CGAAUCGGCUUCUGGUCCUCCUUGGAUGUCUGUCGACGUCAUCAUCAGUAUCGUUGGAGACAUCGCUAUGAUCCAGGUCGACUUGCUCGACUCUGUUGUCCUCCGAAGCCUUCGCAGGAGGCGGAGGACUUUCAGGGUUUCCCUUUUCGAUGGGAGAUUUCUCGCUAGGGUUUUGACCCGAAGGUCGUUCCUGCGCGGCUACAGGCCUGUCAGGUGGGGUUACGAAGUCGAGUCUUUUCCCACGGACUUUAGUGGUUCCGCGGGGG
rnacentral:lncRNA from 1 species